UGACAUAGAGAAUAGAGAGAGAAAAACCUAAUCAUGUUCAUUCUGAAACUUUAUUCAUCUCUUCUCACUGUCGUGCGCUGAAUCUCCUUCUAUCCACCAUCGCGAUUCCUCUAUGUUGAAUACUCCUGCAUCUUCGUGUAUCAUCACCGUUAAGCUAAGCGCUUCUACAACGUCGUGAAUCCUCAUUGUUGCCGAUGUCACAUCCAUUUCGAGCAUCUCAUGAUUCUAGGUUUAGAAUUGCGGAAUCGCUAGAGCAUCGGUCACGUUUGGAGUUGAGAAAGUCAUCACCCAUACCACCACGACUAGUCUUCUUUGCAACAAUCUGAACACUCGGUAAAACUUGUAGGUGUUCCGGAAAUGAGCUAUACAUCUGAUGAUCAGCCGAACCCCUAUGGUGAAAUUUGUAUCAGGGGUCCCAUUAUUUGGAAAAGAGAGUGUUUUGGUAAAGUUUGUAAAGUUGGGGUUAUAACAGGACAUGAAGGGCAUGUGAAUUAUUUGCAAGCUUCAUCAUCCAAUAGACUUGGUGGUGGCUUUUUGUUGUAUAGUGCAGUACCGCCAAUCCCGCACUCGCUCAGGUAUAUGUAUCUAUAAAUCCAAUUUCGUUACUCUUGUACUUCAAUUUUGAUACUAGGUAAAAUUUGGAUAUCUAGCUACAAAUCAAAUUGAAUUGAGAUUCAAUCUACUAUGAAGCACAUGAUAAUUUAAAGUUAAUAGAGGUCUGAAUGUGGAUUAGCUUGUAAAAGCUUCUUAAUUGAAUACUUAUAGGUUUAACACUUAUUAAAUAAGUGCUUAUGUAUAAGCUAUUUCUAUAGUCAAAUAAAAUGUGGUCAAGCUGUUAUAUAAGCUAUAAGUUGUUUGAUAAAAUGUUUAUACCAGCUGGUUCAGGUUUUGCUUCUAUUGUUAUUGGAAGCUUUGCUAGGAACUUAGUUAUUGAUAAAAUGGUUUUUAUUGCUUUAAGAUGAUUGUGUUGUUGUUAUUGAUGAUCUCGUACAGUUAACUAUUACGCAGGCCUUCACUCAGUUCAGUAUUGCGUUCGACAUCAACGACGUCAUUCUCCUUGACAACACUCAUGUUGGUUGCCUCUGACAGCAUUAAGAUAUAGUAUUCAGUACACCUGUUGGUGGCCAUUCUUGCACUGGACGAAGAGUCAGUUGGGAAGGUAGGAGAAGACACAACUGGAAGUCCUGCAAAAUUUCUAGACAAUUACGGCUUUUUUGAAUAUUGACGUGAGAUCUUCUAAUUGGAAAAUCUAGAAAACAACUAACUACAAGGUCUACUUCAACAGUCUUUGAACAAAGAUAGUAUAGAGAUCAGGCUGCAGAGAGGCUUAUUUCAAGCAAAGGGGAACUCAAAACACAGCUUGAGAAUUUUCGCAGGGAUCCUAACAUAUCAAGUGAGGCCCUCAUUUAGUUGUUAUUUUAAUUCUAUACCCGUGUUUCAUGACAGAACUUGCGAAAAUAGCUUAUUUACUUAAUUGAAACUGUGAUUCAGCUUUAUCUUUUAUUAUAAAAAUAGCUUAUAUGUAAGCAGUUGUAUAAUAAACACUUAUAAUGAUGGGUUUGUGUGUGUUUGAGUUGGCUUAUUUGAAGUUAUGUACUUAAAUAAGCACUUGUUACAACUGAUUGAUAGAAAAAACUAAUGGAAUUUGUCUUUUCAAUUUUUAUGGAAAAAAGUAAGUGUGCUGUGUUUUGCUCGUAAAAAUGAAAAAAAGUAAUUCUGGGUUGAUGUUACUAAUGAAAAAAACAUAUCAACUUUGUCUCUUAUACUAUAAAAGUUCAUAUUUGGAUUCUAUAU